GCCACCUACAGGAAUAAAAUAUCAUUACUGAUGAGUGUCUCACACAUGCACGCGCACGCACGCACGCACGCGCCCACACUCAUAAACAGUAGCGUUAACAGAAAGCUGAAGUUCAUCUCUCUCAUCAUGUCUGGAUCUUUAGAUGAAACUCUGCACGGCUCAUGGGUGGAGCUGGAGGCGGGUCAGAGAGGAGGACCACCAGCAUCAGCAUCAGCAUCGCUCCUGCAGGGGGAACUAGAGAGGAUUCUUCUGGAAGCUCAGUACGACUGUGAGAGAGGUCACAAUGAAAGUCCUCCUCAGGUUGGGGUCCUACACACAUCUGGAUCUCCUAAAGCAGUCAGUGAGGGCGGCAGCAGUAGCACAGAUUGUGUUACUAUACAGUCAGAUGAGAGCGACAGAAGAGUGAGUGCUGAAUGGGUUUGGGAUUGGUCCAGUCGACCUGAGAAUCUUCCACCAAAGGAGUUUGUGUUUCAUCACCCAAAGCAGUCCAGUUCUCUGAGUGUGAGGAAGACUGAGGUGAUGAAGAGGGGCUUGUUUUCCUCAGAUGUGCUCCUCAUCCUCCUCCCCUCUCUGUUUGCCUCUCAUGCACUGACUCUGGGUCUGGGAAUAUACAUAGGAAAACGUCUGGCAUCCUCCUCCGCCAGCACACUGUGACAUGUGACCUACAGCAGCUCUCUGAUUGGCUGAGACCUCUGCCUCUAGCACUGUAGCUCAAUCUGUUCUCUACACAUGAUGGAGCAAAAUAAGAGAGAGAGAGAGCGAACAGUCCCUUUAGCCCCGUCUGUCUCUCCUACAGCAAUACCAUAUAUUCUUUGUGUCUCCAUAGACUUAUUUGCCCAUCUGAAUGUUGUUGUAUUAAUUUGCAUUUAUUGUCAGAUUGCAUAUAGGAAUGUGUCCAACCAAUACACUUAAAUUACUAUAAAAACAGUAGAGAUGAAGAGAGAAAGACGUGAGUGAAUCAGUGUUUGGUAGCAGAAGUCAUUCAGUUUCAGUGAGGAUUGAUGGAAACAUCUGCAACAGCUUGUUAUGUUAUGCAAAUGAGCAGUGACACAGUGUGGUGAACAUUGCAUUACAGCACAUAUGUGAUUUGUGUUGUGUAGGCAAUAUGAAGAUGUUUAUAUUACUGCGAGUGAAUUUUAUGUUGAUGCCUGAAUGCUGGGGCAGAAAAAUGCACAAGGAAGUGUCAAAAUUGA